CCGGUAAAUGUCUUACGGAACGCAAGCAAGUGGAAAUACAAGCACCUAUAUCUAGUGAAUAAGACGACGACCGCGAAAUCUGUCUUUGCAUUCAGCGCGGUCAGACAUCUAUACGUACGUACUUUAAGUUAGUACGGCACGAGAAGAUGUGCAAAAAAUGGGGAAAAUUGUGUUUACGUAGAAACCUAUAUAAUUAUAAAUAAAUAGAAGAGAAGCAUUUUAGUGAGUCAGAAAACCGCACGUGAUAUUUUUUAGUAAAUGGAAAUAAAGUGUUCUCGAUUAAUCUAUUUAUAGUGUGAAAAAUACAAACUUUUGCCAAAAUCCUAUAUUGUUUUUGAUGUGUGAUCAUUUGCCUCUAAACAUCGUUACUUCUAUGAAGACUACGGUAUCAUCUGCUUUACUUCCGCUUGUGCCUCAGAAGAUUAUUUUUAGCAGAUUACUGAUCAACAACUUCCUUCAAUAGAAAGGCUCAGUGUGUUUGAAACACCUCAGUUAAACUUGUUGAAUCUAGUACAGUGUGAUAAGUCUACGAGACAUUAACUCAAAAUGAAUAGUAUCGCAAAAGUGUUUAACAACUUCAAGGAGUUCUAUAGUGAAAUCAAUGGUGCUACGCUGACUGGGGCGAUAGAUGUAAUCAUAGUAGAGCAGCCAGAUGGAUCAUUUGUGUGUUCUCCCUUCCAUGUGCGCUUCGGAAAGCUUGGAGUUUUACGGAGUCGCGAGAAAAUUGUAGAUAUUGAAAUAAAUGGCGAACCGGUUGACAUACACAUGAAACUAGGUGAAUCUGGUGAAGCCUUUUUUGUCGAAGAGUGUCUCGAAGAAGAUGGUGAAGUUCCAGCUCAUAUGGCAACCUCGCCAAUUCCUACUAGUUCGUUCAUUGAGUUCGCUCGCGACACUUCAAUUGUGACAGUUACGCAAAAUUUAGAAGAUGAGAAUAUACCAAGACCAAGGCGUAAUUCGAUCGAUUUAUCAAAAGAAAAUACCGAAUCAGAUAAAUCCAAAUUUGAGAAUCAGAAAUCCGAUUUCAACCAUCGACGGCACACUGAUAACACUACAGGAAGGCCCGAUUUGACUUUGACCAAGAAAGAAUACACUACUCAGAAGAUUCGCCAAGAAUGGGCUGAAGCAGAACAGGAGCAAAUCUUCCAAAUGGACGGAAUUGAAAAUUCGACAACUGAUUGGCAGAAUAGCACAUUGCUUCCGCCUAACAACGAAGAAGACAAACAUUUUAAACCAAUCGAAACAGUUCCUACCUCAACGGAAUCUAAAAUAACAAAUUCGGAGCUAGCUUCUCAAGAAGAUCAACAGGCACAGUUGCUAGAGGACAAGACUAAUGCGGAUUCUAAAUCAAAAAAGAAACGCAGGAAGCGAUCGAUUAUGAAGAAGAAAAAUUCUCAACGCAAAAACUCGUCCAGCAGUUCUGGAGGAUCAAACCAUUCGGAUCCGAACGAUGGCGUUGAAACAGAUAGUAUUACUGCAUCGCAACCUACUGCCUCAUCAGCUAGUGGAUCUCCCAAGGAAGGUGAACCUGAAAAUUUAACAGCUACUCCAGCAGAAAAUGCACCAAAAGAAAUUCCAGAGCUAUCAAACCGAGGUCAUGAAUUAGAUAUUCAUUUCUUCAGUGAUACUGAAGUUACAGCUGGUGUUAGUCCACGCCAAUCUCGCCCUUCAACUCCGAUACAAAGUGACACGGAGUUUGAAAUUUCACAACGCGAGAAUGUUGAAGGCGAUAGCAUGUCCGCUUCUUGGAAGUGGGGAGAACUCCCAACAAAACCAGAAGAGAUUGAAGAUUUGAGUACCUCUCAGGGCAAACAAGCUCAACGUAAUUCAAUGCUAAGUGGUUUGAUGAGUUUUAUGAAAUAUAACAACAAGAAAAUGCGGAAAAAUGUUCCAGAUGGUUUGUAUCUUUCGGAUCUUGACGAAUCUUUGGACCCUGAAGUGGCUGCUCUCUACUUUCCACCCGUUUCAUCUAAAGCACAGCAUGCUCAAACUGAAGAAGACAGAGAAAGUGGCAAUGGGACAUCUCUGCCGCAUAGUCCGACAUCGCUCGAAGGUGUGAAGAGUCUGGAUUCCGAUUUUGACGAUAACAAGGAUAAACUUUCGUUAGAUUUCAUCGCUCUUUCACUCUGUGGUGGUUUGGACAGUGGUACACCAACGUAUGAAGAAUUUGAAAAGCAUCGUCUUCAGUACGCCGAUGUCUGUAACAGUCCGACCAUUUUUUCAUCACCGGAUCUAGUAGUGAGAAUCAAUGACAAAUACUGUUCAUGGCAAGCCGCUUGCCCUCAGGUGAUGACUAUGCUUGCAUUCCAAAAAUCUCUUCCCACUGAGCAAGCCGAAACUCCUAGCAAACCGAAAUCACUGGACGUCGCUACAGCUGGUUCUGUAGAAGCUGAUGCACAAUCCACCAAGCAACAAGUUUCGCAGACAUCUUCGGAAGCCAAUCGAGGAGGACGUUGGUGGUAUUGGCGUAGAUCGAACGACAAAUCAACCAUGAAAACCGAAAAUGAGACUGAACAACAGUCGAAAACUUCGGCUAUAGCUACUCAGACUUCUCGAUCCAAUACUCCGGAAGAUGUUGGAACAAUGACAGAAAGUUUCAGCAAGACUAAAGAGGAUGGAUAUAAUGGAUCUCUAAGUUCGGAAGAUUCUGAGCUGCCCUCAGAUCAGCCAACAAACCAGGAGCUCAUUUUGAACAAAUCGGACAGUUUCAUUGAGAAAUACCGAAAAACGCUUCGCCUGUCGUCCGAACAAAUCGAAAGCCUCAAUCUUAACGAUGGUAUGAAUGAAAUCGUAUUCAGUGUAACCACUGCCUACCAAGGAACCACUCGUUGCAAAUGCUAUUUGUUCAAGUGGAGAUACAACGACAAAGUUGUUAUCUCUGAUAUCGAUGGAACCAUUACAAAAUCUGAUGUUCUUGGGCAUAUUCUACCAAUGGUCGGCAGAAACUGGGAACAAAUUGGCGUCGCCCAGCUCUUCUCGAAAAUUGAAGAAAAUGGCUACAAAAUGUUGUACCUUUCAGCACGUGCCAUUGGCCAAGCGAAGACUACCAGAGAUUAUUUGCAGUCUAUUCGGCAGGGAGAUGUGAAGUUACCGGAUGGUCCGUUGCUCCUAAAUCCUACCUCGCUAAUGUCAGCCUUCCAUCGAGAAGUUAUCGAAAAGAAGCCGGAGCAGUUCAAAAUAGCUUGUCUUAGUGACAUUCAAGCUCUGUUCCCUGAUAAAAACCCCUUCUACGCGGGAUAUGGCAACAGAAUAAACGAUGUCUGGGCUUAUCGUGCAGUUGGAAUACCCAUCUCUCGCAUUUUCACCAUCAACACAAAGGGCGAACUGAAGCAUGAAUUGACGCAAACAUUCCAAUCUACCUAUGCGGGGCAGUCAUUGGUAGUCAAUGAUAUAUUUCCGCCCAUAAUACGCGAGUCGUCAUCAGAGUCUGAUCAGUCAGACUACGAUCAAUACGACGACAAUGACGACGACCAUGACGAAGCCGAUAGCUGCUUCGAAGAAGCUGAUUUUGAAAGAACUGAUUCAAUGCAACGAAUUAAUAGCAAACCAAAAUUUAAACAACGAUCCAGUGGUCGUUGCCCAGAAUAUGACCAACCGGAAUUGCAGUUUCCAUGUGAUAUAGAGUACUAGAUGACCACGAGGGGCGACCUAGGCUAAAAGUGAUAAGACUGAUUUUGAAGCAGAGUAGAUUUACAUAACUGCUAUUUUGAUUAAUUACAAAGCACGCUAGAGGCUUAUGUACGUUCUAUUUUUGAUGGUAAUGGAAUCGUAACGCUAGUCAACGAAAAUGACUUUUUCCCUAGCGAUGUAGGCUUGUAUAUGAAUUUAUACUAGCUUUUCCAUUAGUUUCUGCCAUCAAUUUGCUACGGUUACGCAAACAUGGCAUACAUUGUAGAUCAACUAUUCCCACCCAUCAAACACAUAGAAGAAGAGGAUAGCGAGUUCACCAGUUUCAACUACUGGCGGGAUCCAGUACCGGACAUCGACUUGAAUCUCGAUUUGUCCAGCAGCUCUCAGAGUGGAAGCGGCAGUUCUACGCCGGUAUCGCUUCUAUCGGGAAAAGUAACUCCCACUAGCACACUGGUACAACAGGCUCUACCUACUAUUCCGGAAAAUUAAACCAUCUUCAAUUUCGUUUUCCAAAGAUAAACAUACUUUUAAUCGCGUAUCAGUAUCGUAUCAGACACUAAGUGGGUAAGAAUAAAUGUAAACGCAUAUAAACUACUAGCUUUCCGUACAGAUAUAGGCUUAAGCCAUUAUAAUCGAAUUAUUGACAAAAUCGAAACAAACAUUGUGAACCACACCAAUGCAUCCUUCAAUAGCUUAGUUCUUGUCUUGUCCUUGUAUUAAAUUAUAGUUCAGUUUGUCAUGUCUCUCUAGUUUGCCUUUGAUAGGCACAUGCAUUAAAGUUCGCAGCACAGCCACGAAGAGAAACAAAUAUUAAAAUGCUCCAAAGCAGUUUACAAUAAUAAUAUUGAUUUAUAAAAAUUAUGUAUGAAAUAAUUAAAAAAAAUGCUGACGUGUUUGUAACAAUGAGUGCUGAUCUAUUACCAAGCACGAAAUCAAGCGUUGCUGAGAAUGAUCAAAUUUGCGAUGAUACGAAAAUUCAUCAAAGCAUAGCGGAUAGUGAAUAAACUAUUGUUGAGACGAGCAGAUGGAACAGCGAGUCUGAUCCAAAUUGAGCUAGUAACAUGUGAUAAUAAUUUCUAUUUAUAUUUUUUUUCGUUUUCAUAUAUUUUAGUUUGUAGUUUUCAAAUAAAUAGCAGCAUUACAAACAAACGUAAACAGUAGCAAGGUUUUAUUUGUUCUUUUUUCAUAAUUUGCAUGUGGCCCAACAACAGGCAAGUACCACUCAGUUACGCUAUCUUUUCGGUGCGAUAAGGCUUAUCAGAGCAGAAAAUUGAUUUUAUGGUUCUUACCAUGCAAGUCAUUUUGUAUGCAAUCGCUCAACCGGAUGAUGACAACACUACGGUGAAUGAAAAAGCCUGUGCAUCCAAAUUUCGGUAUGAACAACCAUGCAAUCUUAGAAAGAAAACCAAUUUGUGUAUGUUGUCGAAGUUUAACCAUGACGGUGAUGCGUAAGUUUGUCAUUUCAAGCGCGUAAAGAAAAAAAAACAAUGAAUAGACGCUAAAGUACUGUGCUUCAGAA